AUCAAAGUUAAUCAUUUAACUAUUGUUCAAAAUUGAUGCAUUUCUAUGAUAUAAAAGACUGGAAAGAAAUUGUGAUUCUCGUGGAAAGAGCAAAGCAACUGAACAAAUCUGCUGGUUUUAUGUGUUCUUUUAACGUCUAGCUAAUGAAGGUAUUCAUGGAGAAAGGAUGUUCCCUGCCACGUACUUUAUGUACAGCUUAUCACAGUCUCAGAGGAGACUUAAAUCACCUCCAGAUGACAAUAAGCAAUGGAUGUGAAAUCUUUAAAAGGUUUAACGAUGGAGACAGAAGAUGUCCUCUCUAAAUUGUUAUCAGCAAAAGCAAUAACAGACUCCUGCUAAGGAAUGGUCUCAGAUCCCACUGUGACCCUGCUGUGUGUCAUGUCACUCGAGGACUGCACAAAGCAACAGUUAACGAGAACUUCAAGCAGAGAGGCUUUUAGUGAAAAUACAGAGGAUGACUCGAGAGGAAUUGUGGUGCUUUCAGAGGCCAGAUGUCCAUCGAUCAAGAAUGACCUCAGGAAAUAG
rnacentral:lncRNA from 13 species